rnacentral:rRNA from 1 species
AUUGAACGCUGGCGGCAUGCUUUACACAUGCAAGUCGAACGGCAGCGCGGGCUUCGGCCUGGCGGCGAGUGGCGAACGGGUGAGUAAUACAUCGGAACGUGCCCAGUAGUGGGGGAUAGCUCGGCGAAAGCCGGAUUAAUACCGCAUACGACCUGAGGGUGAAAGCGGGGGAUCUUCGGACCUCGCGCUAUUGGAGCGGCCGAUGGCAGAUUAGCUAGUUGGUGGGGUAAAGGCCUACCAAGUCGACGAUCUGUAGCUGGUCUGAGAGGACGACCAGCCACACUGGGACUGAGACACGGCCCAGACUCCUACGGGAGGCAGCAGUGGGGAAUUUUGGACAAUGGGCGAAAGCCUGAUCCAGCAAUGCCGCGUGUGUGAUGAAGGCCUUCGGGUUGUAAAGCACUUUUGGCGGGAACGAAAAGGACUGUGCCAAUACCACGGUUCGAUGACGGUACCCGCAGAAUAAGCACCGGCUAACUACGUG